rnacentral:rRNA from 1 species
AUUAUAAAAUGAAAUUUAUUCCUGGUUGAAAAAGGCCAUAUACAAUUAAAGACAGAAGACCUAUAAGUUUUUAAAACCUCCGCCCCCUGGGGGGGGGGGGAUUUGGUUGGGGCACCAAAAGAAUAAAAACUAAAAUAAUAAUAGAGAUAUACCUCUAUAUGAUUAGCCCUAAACUAUAAGCAGUUACUGUAGGGAUAACGGUAAUAUUUCCUAAGAGUACGCAUCAACGGAAAUGAUUGGCACCUCGAUGUUGGCUUAGGGUGUCUAUUUCAUGUAGAAGUGAAAUAAGAAGGUUUGUUCACCCUUAAUCCCGCUGAGCGG